CUGAACGCUUGGCGGGCGUGGGCUAAGACAUGCAAGUCGAACGGUUGUAGCAAUACACAGGCGGGCGGACGGGGUGAGUAAUGAAUCGCUAACGUACCCCGAGGUCUGGGGAUAAGCCAGUCGAAAGGCUGGGUAAUACCAGAUGAUAUCACGAGGGUCGCAUGGCCUUGUGCUCAAAGACGCAAUUCACCUUGGGAGCGGGCGAUUUUCGUAAUCAGCUAGUUGGUAGGGUAACGGCCUACCAAGGGCGACGACGCCGUAGCCGGACUGAGAGGUUGGCCGGCCACAAUUGGGACUGAGACACUGCCCAGACUCCUACGGGGGGCUGCAGUAACGAAUCUUCCGCAAUGCACGAAAGUAUGACGGAGCGACGCCGCGUGGAGGACGAAGUUCUUCGGAAUGUAAACUCCUGUCAGGGGGUUAGAAAGUUCUGAUCAACCCCAGAGGAAGGCACGGCUAACUCUGUGCCAGCAGCCGCGGUAAGACAGAGGUGCCAAGCGUUUAGGCGGGAAUCACUUGGGCUUAAAGCGUGUGUAGGUGGAUGCCUAAGUACCUUGUGAAAUCCCACGGCUUAACCGUGGAAACUGCUGGGUAUACUGGGUGUCUUGAGCCAACUAGGGGCAAACCGGAACAAACGGUGGAGCGGUGAAAAUGCGUAGAUAUCGUUUGGAACGCCAAUUGGUGAAAAACAGGUUGCUGGGGUUGUGCUGACACUGAGACACGAAAGCCAGGGGAGCGAACGGGAUUAGAUACCCCGGUAGUCCUGGCCGGUAAAACGAUGUCCACUAGAUCGUAGCGGCCUCUGACGGUGUUAUGGUCGAAGCAAAAGUGGCUAAGUGGACCGCCCUGGGAAGUACGGGUUCGCAAGGCUAAAACUCAAAGAAAUUGACGGGGGCUCACACAAGCGGUGGAGCAUGUGGUUCAAUUCGAAGCAACGCGCAGAACCUUACCUGGGCCUUGACAUGCUAGGAUUAUCCCUAUGAAAGUAGGGUAGGUCCCGCAAGGGACACAACUAGUACAGGGUGCUGCAUGGCUGUCGUCAGCCUCGUGUCGUGAGAUGUCGGGGUUAAGUCCCUUAACGAUGCGAAACCUUUGCCCUUAGUUACCAUCGGGUUAUGCCGGGGACUCUAAGGGGGACUGCCGGUGUCAAACCGGAGGAAGGUGGAGAUGGACGUCAAGUCCUCAUGGCCUUUAUGCCCAGGGCCACACCACGUGCUACAAUGCCGUGGACAGAGCGAAACCCGAGAGCGCAAGCCUGGAGGAAAAUCGCAGAAAUCACGGCCCAGUUCAGAUCGGAGGCUGCAACUCGCCUCCGUGAAGUUGGAAUCGCUAGUAAUCGGCGGAUCAGCUACGCCGCGGUGAAUGUGUUUCCUGAGCCUUGUACACACCGCCCGUCAAGUCAUGGGAGCCGGAAAUAGCCGAAGUCGCCACACCACUGUGGUGCCUACGCUAGGUUCGGUGACUGGGACU
rnacentral:rRNA from 1 species